CUUCAUUUUCUUUCGCAGCCCAACAGGACCAUCUCUACUGCAAGAGUUCAUCGUCUCCGCGACUUCGAAGCAUCUCGCGACUCUUCCUGUCAUCACUGUCGCGGCUCCAGAUGAUCGCUGGUGGUCCAACCGCGAUUGCCUCCCUCCAUUGUCGUGACCAAGCUUCUUUCGCGGCGUGAGCCCGCGUUCAUCGUUUCACCGCCGCGGCCUCCUAAACUCGCGACCAGAAGCCCCGGUGUCUCCUAGCUCCCAAAAGUCGUCGAUCUCACUUCCAAUUGCAGAAGAUCUCAAACUGCGGCAGCCAAUCUUCGAUUUUUUCCUUCAUCAAAGCGACGAGCCAAAUCCCGUGAAGAGCUUGAGAAUGGCCGAUCUAAGUGUGGAAGAAACUCGAUCUAAUUGUCUUCAGAGUUCUUCAUCCGUUCAUCUCUCUGGCGACCAAAACUUGGAAACGUUACGUUACCUAUACACCCUCAUUACAAAGUAUAAUGGCUAGUUCAGUUGUUCUUCUUGGUGUUUUAAACGCCGGCAGCUGUUCUUCCGAUGUCGAGGUGUGUUUGCUCCGAUUCUGGGAAGUUCGAAACAUCAAACGCGGUGGUCCUUGAUUCGAUGGUUUUUCCGAUCUCUCUGAAGUAAAGCUUCUCAACUUUAAAAUUUGUUCUUGAAUGGAGAACUUGGGAGAGGUUGGUGUUACCUUCUACUCUCGAUGACGUUGCUCAGAUAAGAAGAACACAUGGAUGAUGGAUCUGAAUGAGAAGCUUUUCUGAAUGAGAAGCUUUACUUCGGAGAGCAAGACAGACACCAUACAGGGCUUAUGGUUUUGGAGCAUUGGGAAAAAUGCUAUUGAUGAAGCAGAUGAGGGUGUUGAAGAAAUCAAGUGGCAAACAUACACGGGAGAACUCACACCAACGCAAGAAAAAACUAAGGAGAAAGUGUUGAAACUGUUGGAUAAGGUUUCGAAGACUCUCAUGACAUGGCCUCCCACAAUGCCACCAAGAUACUGUUUUUUCGGGAUUCAGUUUCACUUCUCUCACGCAUAUUAGACACCACUAGCUAAUUUUUUCUGAUCAGGUGAGUUAAACCACUAAGAAAAAACGUCGUAAUCCUCUUUACAUGUACGAUUUAUGAUUUUUUUUAUCAAACCUUUAAUUAAAUUAAGCUAGAAAGACAGAGUUCAACACCCGAAGGUGGGUACAGAGUGGAGAUUACAUGCUGAUUUAGCAAGACAAUCAGCAAUAAGUAAUAACAUUAUCAAGUCUUGGAACAAAAGAGAAAGAGAGAGAUUCAAAGGAACUCAACAUUGAUAUAUCAUGGAGGUGCGACUUAUGAUUAAACUCUCAAGUUAGGAUGUACAUUUCUAAUUUUCGAGACAUUACUGUGUAUAGUUUGGUAUUUAUUGUCUUUCUAUUAUUUCUCUUUGUUCCCCUCCACCGUCAUCUCAAGAUGCGCUUGCAGCUGAUGGAGGCAAAUAGUUCCACGGGCUUACUCUGAAGGCAGAAGUUGUGAAAGGAGUAUUCCACAUAUAUAACUUACAGGUUUUGGACGGAACACAGUGCAAGAAAGUCUAAACAAAGGAAGGUCAAGGAUCUUAUCACCAGGGCCUAUAGAGGCAUAAACUUCCUUUAACACAAUAUUCGAGUCGAGAACAGGAAGCCCGUGGGACACAAAUCUAAGGUCUACAGGCUGAAAUGGUCUCGCGAUGAUACAAAGCAUGAAUCCGGAGGCAAAUUAAAUCAGCUCAUCUCUAACCUUAGCUGAAGUGCUCUACAAUUUAUCUGUUCCAUUUGUGUGACCAGAGUUAAUAUGAUUAAAGAAAAUUAAUAUGAUUAGAGAAAAAGCUAUACUCGGCUUAUAAGCCAAUAGCUAAAACAUGGACUAAAACUAUAAAAUGGUCUCAGCAGCCACUUUUAUUCUUUC